rnacentral:misc_RNA from 1 species
UGGAAGUAAAAGUCGUAACAAGGUUUCCGUAGGUGAACCUGCGGAAGGAUCAUUACAGAAUGAAAAGUGCUUAACUGCAUUUUUUCUUACACAUGUGUUUUUCUUUUUUUGAAAACUUUGCUUUGGUAGGCCUUCUAUAUGGGGCCUGCCAGAGAUUAAACUCAACCAAAUUUUAUUUAAUGUCAACCGAUUAUUUAAUAGUCAAAACUUUCAACAACGGAUCUCUUGGUUCUCGCAUCGAUGAAGAACGCAGCGAAAUGCGAUAAGUAAUAUGAAUUGCAGAUAUUCGUGAAUCAUCGAAUCUUUGAACGCACAUUGCGCCCUUUGGUAUUCCAAAGGGCAUGCCUGUUUGAGCGUCAUUUCUCCCUCAAACCCUCGGGUUUGGUGUUGAGCGAUACGCUGGGUUUGCUUGAAAGAAAGGCGGAGUAUAAACUAAUGGAUAGGUUUUUUCCACUCAUUGGUACAAACUCCAAAACUUCUUCCAAAUUCGACCUCAAAUCAGGUAGGACUACCCGCUGAACUUAAGCAUAUCAAUAAGCGGAGGA